rnacentral:rRNA from 1 species
ACUCCUACGGGAGGCAGCAGUGGGGGAAUAUUGCACAAUGGGGCAGCCAAGCCUGAUGCAGCCAUGCCGCGUGUGUGAAGAAGGCCUUCGGGUUGAUAAAGCACUUUCAGUCGUGAGGAAGGUAGUGUAGUUAAUAGCGCAUUUAUUUGAUCGUUAGCGACAGAAGAAGCACCGGCUAACUCCGUGCCAGCAGCCGCGGUAAUACGGAGGGUGCGAGCGUUAAUCGGAAUUACUGGGCGUAAAGCGCAUGCAGGUGGUUUGUUAAGUCAGAUGUGAAAGCCCGGGGCUCAACCUCGGAAUUGCAUUUGAAACUGGCAGACUAGAGUACUGUAGAGGGGGGUAGAAUUUCAGGUGUAGCGGUGAAAUGCGUAGAGAUCUGAA